UUUUCAUUCAAGAACACUACAGAACUCUUCUCUGUAUCUUCCCUCUCAAAACCCUAGCGCAGCCAUGUCUGAAGUGGAGGUUGCUUGAAGCGGAUUUUACGGCGGCGGAUAAACACUAAUCAAAUGAUUCUUCUUCCUCCGAUUAUACCUUAAUCAAAUGAUUUCUUCAUUCGCCUCUCCAAGCUCUGAAACCCUAGAUUCACAACUUCUAUUUUGAUUGAAUAGGGGUGUUUUGAUGUUUAUUUGAGUGUUCUAUUUGAAGGGAUCUUAAUGGGUUAUCCUUGGAAGGAGUAUUGGUACCUGAGAUAGGGAACCUCACACAUUUGAGACGCCUAUGAGUGCUACACAGACUUCAAUUUUUCUGAGUUUGUUUUACCCAUAGGCCAUGAAGAUAUAUUCCUUGCUUUCCUACUUGGUGGUUGCUACAACAUGAAAGAUGGCUUGUGAAAUGGUCCUGAUGAGUUUUGUGGCAAUUGAAACCUUUGCUUGGGAUCUGGGAGGAGUUUACCAAUCUGGGUGCCUUUACUGUAGUUUUACCCAUAGGACAUGAAGAUGUAUUCCUUGCUUUCUUACUUGUUUUCACUUGAAUCAUUGAAGAUUGGAAAAUUUGUUGGGUGAUGUCAAAUGCCAGAAAAGGAGGUGUUAUAACAAACGUAGAAAUCUAUACAACUUCGACUUGUAUGAGGUAGUUUAACUCACUAAUUAAGGUUACUAAUGAAUGGGUUCCAAAUAUUGUUUCAUGAUGAAUGGUGAGUUUAAGGUUUUCGAUAAUCCUUCAUGGCGAUUUUGAAAGCCAGCUGUUACCAUAAAGAAGGGCGUCAUGGCGAUUGCGAAUACGGUGGCAACACUUAUAUGUUGUUUGGAGUAGUGCAAAUUUUAAUGUCACAUACAUAUACUGGAUUUCUAUAGCAUGGUUUUGGUGUCGGUUGUUGCGGCCAUAAUGUCGUUUUGUUACUCUUCUAUUGGAUGAAAAAUAUUGGCAACUCGACUAAUUCAUCGAACCCCCUCAUUUCUUGGAGGAGUUCUUUGUGCAAAGGCCUCGAUGCUGUUUCACAAUGUACCUCCGGCUGUGUUGGUCCGUUUCUACGAGAGCAUCGAUCAGAAUGGGCCGAUUUUAAUGUUGAUGCUUACUCAGCUGCUUCGGUAAAAGCUAGCCCAUAUGGAUAUCAAGGGACACGGCCCACGAGGUUUACAGGUAGCCAGAUCAUCAUGCCACUUGGCCUGACAAUUGAACAUGAAGAGAUGCUUGAAGUUAUUAGACUCGAAGGUCACGCAGUUGGUCAAGAAGAUCCUUUUGUGUCGAGGGAUAUUCAUCUCUUAUAUUCAUCUCUUACAGUUAUGCAGCGGAAUCGAUGAGAAUGCAGUGGGUCGAGUGUUGGAUAAAUAUUUUCUAUCCCCAAACCCAAAGCAUCGUGAAUCCUACAUCUCUCUAUUGCUUCUCUUUUCAGUUGUGUCUGCCAAAGUCUUUUUCAAGGCCUAAGUGCAAACAUGAUAUUCAUCCAAUUGGCAUUAUUUGGGAUUUGGUGAUGUUAUGCCAAGAAGUUAGAUGAAUCGUUUUUUGGACUCUAAAUGAGGCCCCAACUUUGAUUACGAAUCACUCUCUGAUGCAAGUAUAGGCCAGAUCAGAACUGCUGCAUAUCCUUGCAUAUUAAACGGGUCAAAGAGGUUAGAAUUUUUUACAUGGGUCAACUUUCAGUAGAGUACAUAAAAUUUCAUUAAAUGUAUUUAAUUGGUCAACUUUAUAGAACAGGUCAAAAGAUUCUCAUAAUUUUGAUAAAUAGAUGUCCACACUUUUGACAUAUUUCAAUCAUUUUAGUCUUAUACCGAAAAAAUGGUUUUUGUUUUUCUCAUGUAAAUCGUUAAAUCUACAGGAUUUUUUGUCAAAUUUUUUCUGAUAUUUUUACCUUUUUUUGCCGCAUAAAGCUACUUUUAAGUUACAGUUUGGAUCACAUGUAAAAAACAAUUACAUGUUAGUGUGUUACAAUCAUUUCCUCCUAUUUUAGCUUAUGGAUUUUGGUGUAAUGCUCUAAGUGUCGUUUUAUCUAGGUUUCUAAUCUUAGGAAGAGCCUAAACUUAGUAAACUCAGUAGUUUUGGUGUAAUGCUUUAAGCGUCUUUUUAUCUAGGUUUCUGAUCUUAGGAAGAGACUAAACUCAGUAAACUCAGAAGUGGAUCAGGCACCUUCUACAUGUUGAAUGUUAGUUGUUAUAUCAUGGUUUAUACUAGAAUGAUGUUUGUCACUGAAUAGGUAUCUCAAUAAUUUGGUUUCUCAAUAUCAGGAGUCUCAGAUGUUUAUGUCAUGUGGUAUUGUCUUUUAUGGGGCUCUAUGAGGUAUGGACUUUAGUCUAAUAAAAACCACCAUUUAUUUCCAUCAUGAAGCUAAUUCUUCUCUUGUAUUUAUAAAUUUGUAGUGGACUUUCACCCGCGCAGGAUGUGUUAACUUCUAAUGCAUAUAUCAAAAUAUGUGAUGCAUGUGGGAUUUGGAAAUAAUAUUAGGGGUUCUGGGGUAGACAGUGAAUGUAUAAGGCUUACUUCUUUGUAAUUUUGGUUACAUUGACCUAUAGUUUAGUGUAGAAAUAGAAUUAUUGAUUUGUAUACCUUAAAAUCAACCUGUAAAAGUAAGCUCUCUUAUUUUUGGGUUUUUUAAUUUUAUACUUGAUUACAAUA